AACGAACGCUGGCGGCAUGCCUAACACAUGCAAGUCGAACGAGACGUUCGGGCCUUGUGGCGCACGGGUGCGUAAGGCGUGGGAAGUUGCACGUAAGUUAGGAAUACCUCACCGAAGGGGGAGCUCAUAAAGGAUAAUCUCAUAGCAGCUAGGAUUUAUCGCCUUUGGAUGGGGCCGGGUUGGAUUAGCGAGUUGGUAGGGUAAAAGCAUACCAAGGCGACGAUGCAUAGCUGGUCUGAGAGGAUGACCAGCCACACUGGGACUGAGACACGGCCCAGACUCGUACGGGAGGGAGCGGUGGAGAAUAUUGUAGGAUGGGCGAAAGCCUGAUCCAGCAACGCCGGGUAAGUGAUGAAGGCCUUAGGAUUGUAAAGCUCUUUUUCCCGGGAUGAUAAUGACAGUACCGGGAGAAUAAGCUCCGGCUAACUCCGUG
rnacentral:rRNA from 1 species